CAGCACGCCGCGUGAGGGAUGAAGGCUCUCGGGUCGUAAACCCCUUUCAGCAGGGACGAAAAUGACGGUACCUGCAGAAGAAGCGCCGGCCAACUACGUGCCAGCAGCCG
rnacentral:rRNA from 1 species